CAGACAUUUUUAAAAAAUCGAAUAAAACAGCAACCGUAUUCGUGAAAUCAGCAGUACUAACAUCCUAUUACCGUAAUAUUAGAAAAAGUUUACAGUAUUUAUUACGGUAAUACUCUGUCAACCACAGCUGUACCGUAAUAAACUGUUUACAAAUGAAAGAUGAAAUACUGGGAACAAAAUAAACAACAAAACAUACAAAUAAAGACAUGUGAGCUAUACUGACCCAGUAUCAGUUAAAUAUCUGGGGUUCAUUUGGUUUAAAUGUACUAAAUAUAAGUUAUCAGACCUGCAGGAACAGGGAUUUAUUGUUUAUCCUGGGAAUAAACAGCUGAUGUAUUUUAUAUGUUGAUUUCAGCACUUUUCGACUCAAACUGUUCAGAUUUGACAACAAUCAACAAUCAAUCAUCUAUUUGAAUAGAAUAGAAAAUAGAAUAAAUGUGAAUAGAAAAUAUUCACAUUUUUCAGCUCAUGUUGACGUGUGUGAACGAGUCACCAUCAGUCAGUUUGAUAAAUAAUAAUAAAUAAAUCGGGUUUAUCGUUGGAGUGGCUCAUCCACACGGUAGACGAUCUUCGCUGAGGACCAGCCGCUUGUUGCCUGGCCCGCGCGGCCGCCGCUGCCUCCGGUUUGUCGCCCUCUGCUCGCUCCCGGUUGGCGCGUCACGGCGUUGCUGUGGAGACCCGUCACCGCCGCGGGUGAUGAGAGGCGCCGUGUUUACCUGUAAACUGCGACAGAGAGGCAACCAGGGAGCCGACAGCCGUCACUUCUACACGGGCAAAGGAAAGGCCAAUCAACAGGACCCUUCAGCACUUACAUCAGCUCUGAGGAGGCAGCCGAGAGAGAGAGAGAGAGAGAGAGAGUUGAAAGAAAGGAGCAGUAAUUACUCAAGAGCCUGAACUGAAGAGCAGGAUGGGAGGAAAUGAAGUGGAGAGAACAAGUGUGUGGAUUGAAGGUAGCCCUCCACCUCCUCCUCUUUCUCCAUCCAUCCAUCCUCUGCUCAUUUACUCUGAGUGGCAGUGUGUGGGAAGUGAAGGCCAGCAGAUGAUGUCUGUCUCUGUCAUGUCAAAGCAGGAUGUGGAUGUGGAGAUAUUAAAGAACACGGAGGGAAGAGACGUGAGAGCACGGAGAGGUUUUAAAACAGACGAAAAAAAAAA